UUUCAAGAUGUAUAAAUGAAAGUGGGUAAACAAAGAUGGCACCAAAUUUGAUUUCUAAACUCACGCUAAACCCAAUACCUUUUUUGUUAUGAACUUACUGAGCAAAGAAAACAACGUCGGCUGAUGACAUGGAUCCACGUUCAAUAAACAUUUUGGCAAAUUUGUCAAAAACAGCUUGGACAGAAGCAGCACCGGCAGCUUUCUCAGCAUUGAUGUCAGCAGCUAAUUGUCCAAGUUCUCCUUCACCUAACUUGGACAUGAUAACAUCAACGUCUUUUAACACACUGUCAACAUGCUCAGCUGAAGGAACGUCAGUUGCACUAAAAUAGUUGAAGUCUUUGAGAGCGUUCUUGACAACCUUUUUAUCACGCUUUUGGGCCUUCUUUUUAUCCUCCUUAGCCUUUUUGUUAGCAGCAGCAGCAGAG